rnacentral:rRNA from 1 species
AUUGAACGCUGGCGGCAGGCCUAACACAUGCAAGUCGAACGAGUGGCGGACGGGUGAGUAAUGUCUGGGAAACUGCCUGAUGGAGGGGGAUAACUACUGGAAACGGUAGCUAAUACCGCAUACCAUCGGAUGUACCCAGAUGGGAUUAGCUAGUAGGUGGGGUAAAGGCUCACCUAGGCGACGAUCCCUAGCUGGUCUGAGAGGAUGACCAUCCACACUGGGACUGAGACACGGUCCAGAGUCCGACCUAGUUCAACAGUUAAAAAUAUUGCACAAUGGGCGCAAGCCUGAUUCAGCCAUGCCGCGUGUAUGAAGAGGGCCUUAGGGUUGUAAAGUACUUUCAGCGGGGAGGCGUUACCCGCAGAAGAAGCACCGGCUAACUCCGUGCCAGCAGCCGCGGUAAUUC